CAAGGACAUGACUCGCUCCUUCACUGUAAUCGGCAGCAGGAUUGCCCCCAGGUCGAUUUUCAUAAUUUGACUUUCCAUCCCCCUGCUAAAAAGUAGAUAAUGAAAAUGAAGAUGGCUACAAAAUAUGUAUAAGGCUGGUUGCAGACUUGAACCAGGUGAUCCAACUGAUACAGAAGCUUCUUACUUGUACUAUGCACCUAUCACCAACCAACACCAAAAAGUUAGAGAAAAAAAUAACUCAGAAAGUGAAAUUAUACAAGACUAAACUAA